GGGGAGGGCAAGGAAAAGUAGAAGAGGGAAUGCUUGCUGAAUGGAGCUCCUCUUCUGGGAGCAGACCGAUGAGAGGCUGCACAGCUGUUUCCUAUUGAAACUACACACCCCCCAGGUGGUGCGGAAAUCAAGGCACAAAAUGUUGAAGAGACUUGCUUAAGGUCACCCAAGUAGCAAAUUUACCCUGACACAUGGAAUGCUGUCUUAAUAGCUCAACAACUGUUAGAAGUAUAUUUCUUAAGAGAACCCAUUACUUAUAUGAAUG